rnacentral:rRNA from 1 species
GUCAGCCGCCGCGGGAACACCGGCGGCCCGAGUGGUGAUCGUGAUUAUUGGGUCUAAAGGGUCCGUAGCCGGUUUGGUCAGUCCUCCGGGAAAUCUGAUAGCUCAACUAUUAGGCUUUCGGGGGAUACUGCCAGACUUGGAACCGGGAGAGGUAAGAGGUACUACAGGGGUAGGAGUGAAAUCUUGUAAUCCCUGUGGGACCACCUGUGGCGAAGGCGUCUUACCAGAACGGGUUCGACGGUGAGGGACGAAAGCUGGGGGCACGAACCGGAUUAGAUACCCGGGUAGUCCCAGCCGUAAACGAUGCUCGCUAGGUGUCAGGCAUGGCGCGACCGUGUCUGGUGCCGCAGGGAAGCCGUGAAGCGAGCCACCUGGGAAGUACGGCCGCAAGGCUGAAACUUAAAGGAAUUGGCGGGGGAGCACAACAACGGGUGGAGCCCUGCGGUUUAAUUGGACUCAACGCCGGACAACUCACCGGGGGCGACAGCAAUAUGUAGGCCAAGCUGAAGACUUUGCCUGAAUCGCUGAGAAGAGGUGCAUGG